GAUGAACGCUGGCGGCGUGCCUAAUACAUGCAAGUCGAGCGAACAGACGAGGAGCUUGCUCCUCUGACGUUAGCGGCGGACGGGUGAGUAACACGUGGAUAACCUACCUAUAAGACUGGGAUAACUUCGGGAAACCGGAGCUAAUACCGGAUAAUAUAUUGAACCGCAUGGUUCAAUAGUGAAAGACGGUUUUGCUGUCACUUAUAGAUGGAUCCGCGCCGCAUUAGCUAGUUGGUAAGGUAACAGCUUGCCAAGGCAACGAUGCGUAGCCGACCUGAGAGGGUGAUCGGCCACACUGGAACUGAGACACGGUCCAGACUCCUACGGGAGGCAGCAGUAGGGAAUCUUCCGCAAUGGGCGAAAGCCUGACGGAGCAACGCCGCGUGAGUGAUGAAGGUCUUCGGAUCGUAAAACUCUGUUAUUAGGGAAGAACAAAUGUGUAAGUAACUAUGCACGUCUUGACGGUACCUAAUCAGAAAGCCACGGCUAACUACGUG
rnacentral:rRNA from 1 species